rnacentral:tRNA from 1 species
AAGUAAAAAGUGAAAAUUCGCAUUCAGUUUCGACCUGAAAUCUGGUAUAAAUAUACCUUUACUUA